rnacentral:lncRNA from 1 species
CCUGGGAAGCAGGUUCCUUUCCUUUGGAGUUGCUUGUAUAGAUCAUCAUGCACAGUUGCUUCUUUCUGACUUACUGAUCUCAAGUUGAGGACACUCGUUGUCUUCUUGGUUUCUCUCUAUUAACUCGCUUCAUUAUAUCUUAUUGAUUUCUGAAGUCUGGGAUGUAGAUAUUCAGAACUGAUAUGCUCUUCAUACAUUUUUACUUCUCCCAUAGCUUAGAAGACAGUUGUGUAGAUCUGGAAUGUUCUGUUUAAAGUCUCAGACUUAGUUCAGCUCUGGGAGCCAACUUCUCCUAGUCUGCCUUGUCCAGUGGGUGCUAACAAAUGGACAUGUGUACAUGCUUUCUCUGUGGAAGCUGUGGCAAAUUUCCAGACUUGGCAUCAGGUGGCUUUUGAUGAUUCUCAAAGAUAAUAUUCAUCUAACAUGAAUACAUUUUACUGCUCCUGGGGACACCUAUAAGAAUGCCCCACUGUGGCCGGGCACAGUGUCACGCCUAUAAUUCCAGCACUUUGAGAGGCCAAGGGGGGCAGAUCACCUGAAGUCGGAAGUGUGAGACCAGCCUGACCAGCGUGGAGAAACCCCAUCUCUACUAAAAAUACAAAAUCAGCCGGGCAUGGUGGCGCAUGCCUGUAAUCACAGCUACUCAGGAGGCUGAGGCAGGAGAAUUGCUUGAACCCGGGAGGCGGAGGUUGUGGUAAGCUGAGAUUGCAACAUUGCACUUCAGCCUGGACAACAAGAGCAAAACUCCGUCUCGAAACAACAACAACAACAACAGCAACAACAACAAAAUGCCCCACUGCCUAAAAAUAUAUCCUAAACACGAAGUUCAAAAAUGUUUUAAUCAAUGAAAGCAAAAAUAAAAUGUGUGUGGAGCUUCCCAAAGGUAAAAGAUUGCUUAGCAAGUAUUAAUUUUCUCAUUAAGACAAAUUUUAAGUGAUUGCUAUUUAUUUUCUUUGUUAUAUACUGUUUCGUAAAAGUAUCUUUUUGUAAUUUUUUAAAAAAGUAUGCAAAUCCCCCCCACACAUAUAAAGCUCAAUAUAUUUUCACAAAGUUAUAUAUAUAUUCAGAAACUGGGGCAGGGUAAUAAAUAUACUGCUCACAUUUGACAUCUAUCACUUCAGUUCACUUACCAAAAAACUACACAAAAGCAUUUUGUGUCUCCUUUUACACUUUGCCCACUGAAUUUACAGUCCUGUCCAUGUUUUGGUAAAUGGAGCCAGACUGUCUCAGCUUUAUUCCCAAUUCAUGUUCACUGAACUACAGCAAAGCUCUACAUCAAAAUAGACCAUAAACAUGUUUCUUCAAAUGUAAAACAGAAGUAAUUAUAUUCUGUACAGUAAGAAAAGAUUAAUGAGAUAGUGCCCAUAAAGUAUUCAUUUAAAAAGCUCUAGAAAAAAAAUAAAUUCAAAAAUACAUUUUCCUGACCCCUUAAAAAUAAAAUUAGGGAGCUCUCCAAUGAAGUUGAAUUUUGUAUUUGUUUGUUCUUAACUAUAUAUUUGCUGAAUGAAAUUUCUUUUUCUUUUUUUUUUUUUUCUUUUGAGACAAAGUCUCACUUUGUUACCCAGGCUGGAGUAAGUGGAGUAAGUGGCGUGAUCUUGGCUCCUUUGCAGCCUCAACCUCCCAGGUUCAAACCAUCCUCCUGCCUCAGCCCCUCAUUAGCUGGAACUACAGGAGUGUACCACCACACCCAGCUAAUUUUUGUAUUUUUUUGUACAGACUGGGUUUCACCAUGUUGCCCAGGCAGGCCUCGAACUCCUAAGCCCAAGCCAACCACGGGCCUUGGCCUCCCGAAGUGCUGGGAUUACAGGCAUGAGCCACUGCACCCAGCUGUGAAUGGUAUCUUACUAUUAUCUUUCUUUCACAUUUAGUGUCUUAUUUUCAUUACCUCCCUAGGGUUUUUUUUUUUUCCAUAUCUUUUCUACUAAAUUUUCUGUUCAGUGCCUUUCCUCAAACUUUCUUGUCUUUGUCUUGUUUUAUUUCUCAUGACCUCUCUCUGCUCCAACAAGCAAGACAAAACAUUUCCCGAUUCCCAUUAGUGAGCAAUUUAUUUAUGUUUAAUUUGAAUUUGAUAUUUUAUGGAGCAAAGGACCUUGCUUUGUAUUUCAUGCUUUUAAAUAUUCUAUCUCUGAUUGUAAUGUAUAACAAUAAGUAAGAAUUUUUGAGGUACAUGAAUGUUCAGUAUUCAUUUAUUUUAAAUUAUCUAACCAAAUAACAGCACUAAAAACCUGCAUAUUUUUAUAACUAUUUACUAUCAGAUGCAUGUAAUCUACUUAUUAUUGUGAAAAAACAUCUUUGGUCAUUGUCAGAAGGACAGCAUUUUUGAUAUGAUAAUCAAAGAGCACUCGCUUGCAUAAAAUUAUGUCACAAAUCACAUUAUUUUAUUCUGGAAACAUCUAUAUUCUGCUGAUGAUUCACCAGAAAAUCUUAAAACACAUUCAAAAAUGCUAUUUUAGGUGUUUUAUAAACAGAAGUUGUGUGUGUGUGUGUAUCAAUUAAAAUGCUGCAAAAUGACAGUUUGUAUAGUACUUUCAAGAUCUUUCUUCCCCAAGGGUUAAUCAGUUCUAAGAAACUGAAUCCUAUUUUUGUUUCCA